UCUACGAGAAAAUUCCUAACAUUUACAACACAUUUCUGCAUCUUAUCAAUUUUCAAUAGAAUUUGUUACUGACCAAUUUUCUAUUUCGUUAAUAUUGUGACACGUUCGCUAUAAAUACUGUUAAUUAAUUAAUUUCAUUACAUUUCUAUUGAGUUGACAAAAUGAAAUCCUUCUUCGUGAUUGUGAUUUUACAGGCUGUUGCGCUGAGCGUAAACGCACAGUGCCUACGCUCAUGCGGACCAGCCUUUGCUCCCGUGGCGGCACCUAUUGGUGCUCCUCUGGGCUGCCCGUUAGCCGCUGCACUGGCUGGACCCUGCGGUGGACCUGCCGUAGCCCCAGCCCUCUCCGCUCUUACAGCUCUUGGACCUAACGCAGUCGCUAACAGUCUGGCCGAUACCCUCUCCCUACUCACCGUUAGCAGCUUGCUGGCUGAGAAAUUACCUCUGGGGUACCCCGCGGUGGCACCAGUUGCAUGCGGUUGUGGUAAUCCCUUGGGCUACUCCUAUGUCGUUUAAGUAGUUUGAUUUUCAGAGAAAUAUUUGUCCAAAAGAAUUAUGUAAAAAUCAAUCAUUUUUAAGCUCAAUCAUUUGAUGGCGAUCCCCAAUCUCGAAUUAGAAAGAUUAAUGAAUUGUAAAGUUUAGAAGAAUGUAAAAAAAUUGAGUCACCAAAUAAAUUUCAGAGCUUCCUAUAUUUUGUAAUAUUUGUUUUUUGUAAUAAUUUUUGAUUAGAACGAAUAUAUAUCGUUUAACAAA